rnacentral:ncRNA from 1 species
UGCUUUCGCUUGCAGAGGCAAAGGGAAAUUCAAGAAAGCGCGGGUAAACGGCGGGGGUAACUAUGGCUCUCCCAAAUGCAUCGUCAUCUAAUUAGUGACGCGCAUGAAUGGAUUAACGAGAUUCCUACUGUCCCUAUCUACUAUCUAGCGAAACCAUAGCCAAGGGAACGGGCUUGGAAUCAUUAGCGGGGAAAGAAUACCCUGUUGAACUCUAAUUAGGCACAGUAAAGAGAUUUUCAAGGACCAUCAACAAACAAUCAAUUCAGAACUGACACGAACCAGGGGAAUCCGACUGUCUAAUGGAAAUAAAGCAUUAGAUGUUGACACAAUGUGAUUUAUGACCAGGGCUCUAAAUGUUAAUGUGAGGAAAUUCAAGAAAGCCCGGGUAAAUGGUAGGAGUAUACUCUCUUAAUAGCCAAAUGCAUCGUCAUAUAAUUAGUGACGCGGAUGAAUGGAUUAAAGAGAUUCCUACUGUCCAUAUCUACUAUCAAGCGAAACCACAGCAAAGGGAACGGGCUUGG